AGUAAUCUUUAAAAAUUAAACUUUUCAACCCAACAGGAAAUAGGAAAUGAAAGUACACAAUUUCCUAAAAAUGACAAUAAAAAUAAGACAUAAUCUUAGGAUCGGUGCUCUGAGAAAGUUUCGUUGCAUUUAAUACAACAAUAAACAUGAAAACAGGCAACUCAAAAAGCAAGAGAAGGAACAACAAAGAAAACUGAGAAUGUAGAAGGAAUGAAUAAAUAUGAAAGACUUUAAGAUUUUUAAUUGGAUUAUCUGGUUUUUGGAAUUUCCCUGAGAAUUCUGAUUCUGAUGGGGUUAGUUUUAGUAACUUUACAUUUUCCUAGAAAAUUGUCCAUUUCGUUGAAUUUAUUUACACUGAGUUGUACAAAUUUGUUUUAUGAUUAAAAAAAAAUUCCCAUGUUCUGGAGAUUAUUUCCCCAUUUUUGUUUCUUAUUUGUGUGUUUGUGCCCUCAUUUUUUUAAAAGGUUACCCACAGGGGCACCUGGCUGGCUCUGUCAGUACAGCCUGCACUCUUGAUCUUGGGAUUGUAAAUUCAAGCCCCAUGUUGGGUAUAGAGAUUACUUAAAAUCUUAAAAAAAAUUUUUUUUAAUGUCAAUUCAUUUUUGAGAGACAGAGACAGAGUCUCCGCGUUGGGCACUGUGCUGACAGCUCAGAACCUGGAGCCCACUUCAGAUUCUGUGUCUCCUCCUCUCUGCCCCUCCCCUGCUCAUGCUCUGUCUCUCAAUAAUAAACGUUAAAAAAAAAUUUUUUUUUUAAAGAUAGCAUAUCAUGACUAAGUCAUGUCUGUGCAAGAACAGCUAAAGAUCAGAAAAUCUACUCUCUCCCAAAAUACAUAAACAUUAAAAGGGGGGAGGGUGGCUCAGUCGGUUGAGUGUCCAACUCUUGAUUUCAUCUCAGGUCGUGGUCUCACAGCUCGUGAGACUGAGCCCCGUGUCUGGCUUUGCACUGGCAGCAUAGCGCCUGCUUGGGAGUCUCUCCCUCUCUUCCUCUGCCCCUACACUGCUGGUGCUCAUGCUUUCUCGCUCUCUC